UGGUAUCUUCGGCCGCUUUCAAGCUCCGAGCAGGUAGUACCAGUCUCACUCCGUGCUUCGCCAAAACUCUCGCCGUCUCGGCUCCUAUCCCCGAAGUGGCGCCGGUGAUGAUGGCAGUGAUGGAACGCAGAUCGGUGCCUGCGGUGACCUGGUCUGCGGUGGACUUAGAGCCAAAGCCACUAGAGCCGGCAGAGCCCAUGAGGUACUUGACAGUUUCCAGCAUUUCUCUUUUCUUGUUCGUGGGUUUGGUUCGUGCAACUAACGGAGUAUAACGUUGACUAGAAAUGGAAUCAAAUGAAAAAGCUAAGUACGUGUUUUUUGUCAGAGAUUUCGCAGCCAACGCCGCUUUGCAUUUAGCUCACGGAGAGAAAG
rnacentral:misc_RNA from 1 species